AAAUGGGAGACUGAGGCCCAGAGAAGUUUGAGUGUCUCCCAAAGUCACAGGGCCGAGGGAACAAGCCUGUGCUGAGUUUCCACAAAACCAUUUGUUUUCUGAUCCUCAACAAGGCAGGCUGGGCUGUCCCAGCUCUGUGAUGAGAACGCUGGCUGGUCUGGAGGACAGACCUGGCUGUUGGAGGUACUGGCUGCUACAGGACCAGGCUUCAAACCCAGGAUUCAUCUUGACUAGCUCUGUGUACUUGGGAAAGAUGCUCUAAGCCUCAGUUUUCUCAAAUGUAAACAAGGAGGGAAAAAAUAGUUCCUCGCCGGGGUGUUGUGAGGACUAAGUGGCAUCAUAGGGCUUGGUGCUGGCCGUCCCUCUUUCCUUUGACUUGUGACGAUCUCUGGGCCUCGCAAAAAAACCCCGCUGUACUACUCAGGACAGGGAUGUUGAUGCUCAGAUGAGAUAAUGGAGGGAACAUGCUUUGGAAAAUCCAUGCACACCAUUCAAAUGUGAGGUAAUAAUAGGAACAACGGAUUUGCCACCACCCUGCCAAGAAACUAGCAGCUUUGGAGACAAAGAGCAGACCUGAAUUCUAGAAUCCUCAUCAUCAUGAUUGGUUUUGGACAGCAAAACUUUUCUGCUCUUUCAAACAUGUAUCUCAAAAGGUUGUUUUAUUUCGAGGACCGGAGAGAAUGUGUAUGCAGCAGAGCUUGAGAGCCGUAGUGGGCAGUGGGUGUCGGCAGGUGUUAGUGUGCCAGGUGGGCCACUGCGCCAUUGGCUGGAAGCUCUUGCAGAGAAGACGGACGUGUUAUUUAUGCUCGUGUUCUCUGGUGCCCUGCACGGAUCUGCAUAUGAGCCAAGCCUAGUAUCUGGCACAGAGUAGGCGCUUAGGAAAUUCAGGCUGGAUAGAAAUGGAGCACGUGAAGAAUAAAGCAGACUAUCUAGUGUCUGCACCGCACCACGGGGGGAGCUCAAGGCUCCAGGUGGUCGCAAGCUUUUACAUCUCCACCAGCAACCUGUAAGCGCUCCAUUUGCUCCACAGCCUCCCCAAAGCUUGUUGGAUUAUAUUCACCUCUACUUCUAGUAGGGAGCUGGCGCAAGAUCAUGUGUUGUACUUGCUGAGCUCUGGACCAUAGUCUGCUCCCAUCUGUGCAGCUCUGGACACAUCAGUUCACCUCUCGUGGGCCUCAGUUUCCACAGCUGUAAAAUGAGAAUCCUAAUACCUGUAUCCACAUGAAGUGACUGCAGUGAGGCUUCGAUGAGAAUGACAGAGGUCUGACCAUGGACUUCAAGUGCCCAGUACGGUGCCUGGCAAAUAGCCCUCAGGGACGAUGAGCAAUUACUAAUCAAGAAAGCUGAGUCUCAGUGAGGCUGUUUUGAUGUGGUAACAGAGCAAGCAAGCCUCCACUUCAGCUCUCUGACAGCUUGCCAUGUCUGUGAUCCUCUAAAGCAAAAUUUAAUCCAAAAGAUGUAAUAAUGAUUGGUUGAGGCGAAUCCCGACAGGGCCACAAAGACAUACGUAGUGGUGGCUAAGGAGUAUCCCCUGCCCUCGGCCGUUCCCUGACCCAACGGCCCUAGCCCGGCCUGACAUGACUUUUCUGAGCAAUGCAUGUUGGAAGCUGUUGGAUUUCUGCCACACAGAGGGCUACAUUUAACCAACUAGAAUGAAGAGUCAGAGCUAGACUGUGGUGUGCCAUGGACCGAGUUGACUGACAAGGACUCAGACAAGACUGGCUCAUACAUCAGACUGGUACAGGCCCCGAAGAGAGGACUGAUACAGGCCCGAAGAGAGGAAGAAGGCCUCUGCAGCAGGGAAUUCUGGGAGCGGUAGAAGGACAGGACCCAUCAUUCUGGGAGACCCUUUCAGACUUAUCGAGAGCAUGGCAUGUUUCCUGAUAGCCACACCUGCUUCUGGGCCUGGGUGCUGCUUCUAACCCGCUGCGUGUGGUUGCACAUCUUUAGCUCUUCUUUCCUCCUGGAUAAAAAGGAAUGGUUUUGCAGUAUGAUUUCUGAAGUCUCUUCUGACAUGCCGGAAUCCUCUGCAUUGAAUACAAGAUUUCUGAAAAAGUUUGCUGACUCCCGCUUUACAUCACUGAUCACCAUCUGACUCACUAAGAAAAUUCUCCAUGAUGCUAUUCAGAUAAAGAGAGAACCUCUUUUGAAAGCUCUGUUUUCUUGGCGGCCAUUCCUGAAGCCUUGAGUGUUGGAGAAGGUGGAAGGGCAGUAACUUAUUCCAGGCCUUGGAUUGGACCAUUCCAUAUUCCACACACAGUGCCAGGACUUCAAACAGCCCUUUGAGCAGAGAAAUGCUGUAGGGGCAACAGCUACGGUACAGGGUAUGUUGUCUCCAUUACCACAUACAUGGAUGGAUACUGGAGGCUCUUGCAGAAAGAUGGGCAGUGGAUGCAAUGGGAACAGUAAUCUCUACAUCCAACAUAGGCUCAUACUCACGACCCCAAGAUCAAGAGUCAUAUACUCCUCCGACUGAGCCAGCCAGGAGCCCUUUAUUAAGGAUUUUAAAUGACUACAAAACUUCUGAUCAUCUAAGAGUAAACAAGGCAGUCAGGGGCCUACCUCAUCUUCAUCAGGAAUAUAGGAAAGACUACCCCACUGAGCAGGUGAGGAAGGGAGGUGGAGAAAGAUUUACACGCCAGUGCAGAAGUAUGUAAUUGGGUGGCCAGACAGUCCUGGUCCAUCCGGUUUGAGCACUGCCCACACUCCAUGCCCGCAGUGGUGCUACAGUGUGCAGGAACAAGGAAACGUUCUUCGGGGACACAGUGAGGACACCUAGCAGCCAAGGACACCGGGAGGAAGCAAAGGGUCCCGGAGUUCUCUAGAACCUGCUGGAAACUGCCUUUUGUCAUGUGUUCAGGGAGGCGUGCUCCACACUCAGCCUAGAGGAGCAGCCCCGGCCCUGGGAACCCAGCACAAGCUGUAGCUACGGUCACCCUGACACCAUACGUGGGGGUGUCCAGCCUCGUGUCUGUCAGACGCCGGUGUGCCCUUUCUCAGCCAGGCCGAACUGCUCCAUCCUCCUGGAUAAACAUCAUACACUUUCCUCAUCUUAGAUUCACUUGCUUGUCUGUAGCCCUUUCCCACCUAUAUGUGCUUAUCCUUCAGGGCCCGACCAAAUGUCGCCUCUUUUGGGAAGCCUUCCUUGAUUGCCUCAGGCAGUGGCUUAUGUCUGCCUUCUGAGAGCGCACGUUAUUUUCACCUGCGUAUCUGCACGCCUGACAAAUCGUCUCACACAUAUUGGUAAAGGAAUAGUCCGAUUUACUUAAAUGUUGUUAUUAUUGAGAAGGGUUAUAUAAUCUUUUAAUCGGUGUAUAUGUUCAUGGAUGAGAUUCAAAAGAUUUUCUGUUGAA